AAUGUCAAAUUAAAUGAAGGAUAAAAUCAACAAGAAAACAGAAAUCAAUAGUUUUCUAUAAAGCAUGGAGGAAAUCAAUAGAAAUUGGAAGGAUAACUUAUUAUCUAUGUUCAGAGUAAUCAGAGUUGAGAAGAAAUUCUGCUAUUAGUUAAUUGACAAGGGCAAACUAAUGUGUCUCACAGAUGGGAUUGUUAUUUAUUAUUUGAUACUCAAAGGGGUAUUACAUUCAGAGCUUCCAGUUACAGGACCCAAUAGAAAGUAGCAUCUGUACACACUUCAUUUUAAUUGAAUUUGGUGUUCAAAUAGAAAAUAAAAGUGAGUUCUAUCAAAAGACAUGAACUCUUAGUCUAUAUGAGCCCCAAAAUAAGGCUAAUGCCCUUUUCACUGUUUACUAUAUGUUUUGAGGCUAUUUAAAAACAGGCGAUAUUAUUUCUUAUCUAUGCAAAUGGAACAGUAGUUUCUACUUUUGUCUAAAUCUCCCUAAGACUUGAUCUGUCAGGAAUUUUAUGUACCCAUGGCCAGCUUCAUCUGUCUUCCAGACAGAGUGAUAAAAAGUGGAAUCACAGCUAAUGGAGUCCCAUGCAGGUUUGUGCUUUAAUUACCUUCAAAACUUUGAAAUCAGGAUAACCUUUCCAAAGAGAAGUAUCUCUAAUUUUAAAUGAUGCUAGUAUUUCUUCUAGUUACCACACUUCUUUUAUGUCUUUAGCCUGAAAAACUGAAAGCCUUUGAUACAGGAAAUGAGAAAAGCCCUCUGCUUUCAUUCCAGGAGUUAGAAGAUGAAGAUAAUGUCAAUGCAGCUAACUGCUAAUGUAGUGAAAGGUUAUGAUGCAAAUGGUUUUGAUAAAAUAAAACUCUUGGUGCCUAGGUAUAUAGAUUCUAAUAUACAUCAUUUUAAAUACAGAACUUCUAUAGAGCAAUGUUUUAUCUAACAGGUAAAAUUAAAGAUGUUUACUGAAUAUAGUUUGUGCUCAAUAAAAGUUUCAACUUAUGAAUACAUUAAAAAGGCUAGUGCAGGUUACUUUUUCUAGAGACAUUUAGGUUACAAAUAUGCUUUUACACAACUUCACCUAUUGCAUUAAAUUAUGCACUUAUGUUUAAUAAGAUAGCUUGGUUGAACACAGGUUUGAAAAUUUGAUUCUUGUUUUUAAAGUCCAACUUUUAAGGCUUUCAUUAUACUUUUCUUUAGAAUAAAAUCUUAGAAUUUUUCUUUUUUGCUAAAAAAACCAUAGAACGUCUCUUCUCCUUGUGUUGAAAUGAGGUCCAUAUGGUCAAUCUGUGGAUAAUAAUUGUCCUAGGUGCAGGAUAAUGACCUGGUUCCUGGACUCAAGGGAGAGGAGCUGGGCUUUUAGGAUGUGCGUACUCAUUGGCCAUGCCAGGGGAUGUACCCAGACGCUUCCAGAUCUCUGCUAGUAAUGUGGGCAGACAGGCUUCAGUAGCCUAAGGACAGUCCUG
rnacentral:lncRNA from 1 species